rnacentral:tRNA from 1 species
GCUUGGGUGGCUCAGUCGGUUAAGUGUCUGACUUCAGCUCAGGUCAUGAUCUUGCAGUUCGUGGGUUCAAGUCCCAUGUCAGGCU